rnacentral:rRNA from 1 species
AACGCCGCGUGAGUGAAGAAGGUUUUCGGAUCGUAAAGCUCUGUUGUUAAGGAAGAACGUUCAUGGUAGUAACUGGCCAUGAAGUGACGGUACUUAACCAGAAAGCCACGGCUAACUACGUGCCAGCAACGUCGGUGACUGAGCGGGCUGGCAAGGCGCAUA